rnacentral:misc_RNA from 1 species
UUAUUUUAUUUUAUUUUAUUUUUGCUUUUUGGCUGGUUUGGAAGCAAAAAUCAAAAACCAAUGCCUAAAAAGGCAAAAGAAUUACAUUUUAUGAAAAGAAAAAUGAAUUUUUUUUUAAUUGUAAUUGCUUUUUUUCUUUUCUUAAGUGAAGCAGAAUUCAUAUAUUUCUCAUGUUUUCUUUCUUGCUAUUAUAAUAAAAAAAUUGGAAAAAAAUAAAUAUUAGGAAAAAAAAUUGAAGAGCAAGAAGUUGAACCAAAUGGCGCCUAAAUUGAAGCCAAUUUACAUGCUUUACUGAAAAUUUGCUUAGUUAUAAGAAGGAAUUGAGAUGAUAACCUCUAAUCAGAGAUAAAAGAAAUGUUAUAAUAUACCCACUAAGGAUUCAAAUAUAAGAUUUCUUACUAUGAUCCCAUGUUUUAAGCUGUUCCAGGAUGAUUUUAACAAUAUUAUUGAACCCAAAUUAAAAAAAUAAAAAAAAAAGGAACAAAGAGCAAAGCACUCCCAAUUAAUUUUUUUUUUAUAACCUCAAUUUUCUCAUAAUCCAAACCAUAACAACAAAUAUGUGAUUGAAUUUUAAAUGCAAAAACUUGAUUGAAGUUAUAACUAUUCUUUGGUUUAUAUAAUUUGAAGGACUUGUGGUUUCACCAAGCUGUGUACUUCCAUUAACUGAAGAAAAUGUGGAGACGGUUUUGGAUGAGGUGCGACCUGGCUUGAUGGCUGAUGGAGGCAAUGUAGUUUUACAUGAGAUAGAUGGUCUUGUUGUAGUACUGAAGCUACAAGGGGCAUGUGGAUCAUGUCCAAGUUCUACAAUGACACUAAAGAUGGGAAUUGAAACUCGGCUGCGGGAUAAAAUUCCAGAAAUCAUGGCUGUGGAACAGAUCCUGGACACUGAAACAGGACUGGAGCUAAAUGAGGAAAACAUUGAAAAGGUAACCGAAAGUAGUUUUAUUUUUUGUUUGAGUCAUUUGGCACUGCUUAUGUUGGACAUAUAGAAUGAAAAAUACACUUAGAAUGGUUAAUGUCUUGCAUUUUGAGUUUAGAUGUAGAGAUUAAUUAGAAAUUGCAUUUGAUAUGAAUCAUCACAGAAUGCUUCGUUUUGUGGCUGCCUGUAGCAAACUAUUGUACCUGAAGUUACAAUAUUUGUCAGGAAUUUUCAGUUUCAUGUUUGUAGUUAUGUUGUUACAGAGUGCACUUGCAAUCUGAAUCCCAAGUUUAGAUGUAAUUAUUAGAGAAUACAUUUGAUGUGAAUCAUCACAGAAUCCUUCGUUUUGUGGCUGCCUGCAGCAAACUAAUGCAUCUGAAGUUUCAAUAUUUUGCCCGGAAUAUUUGCCAAAUGUUGUAUCCGCAGUUCAUUUUAGUUGGUGCAUGCCAUUAAUACACUGGAAGCUAACAAUCAUGUAAAAAAAUCAAAUGUGCUAAUUGAUUUUGGUUUUAGAAGAUGCUCUUAACAUCUCAUAUCAUUACUAUCUUUGGAACAUUUGAUAGGAGAAUGCAAUGAUUAUGAGUAAUAGGAAAUUUAAUCAGUAGAAUGAAAAUAUCUAUGGUAUUUUUCUUUUCUUUAACAUAACAAUCACAAGUUUCUUGUUUUCUUUUGAGAAACUUUGAUUAUGAUCACUCAUUGUAUUGCUAAUUCCCAACUAAUUUUUAUCUGCUACCUUCCUGCAUGGAACAAUUAUAACAGCUUAUUAUGUAUUUAAGAUGGAAGAUGUAAGUCACUCCAAUUAAAGGCCUCAAAUUCAUAACUUUCAGGUUCUUGCUGAGAUUAGACCGUACCUCGCUGGGACAGGAGGUGGAGUGCUUGAACUUGUUCAAAUCAAUGAUUAUGUUGUCAAGGUUAUGCUUAGCGGGCCUGCAGCUGAGGUUAUGACUGUUCGUGUCGCUCUGACACAAAAGUUGAAAGACAAGAUACCUGCCAUUGCAGCUGUACAGCUGAUCGAUUAACUGAGGAACGGUGAGAACAAUAAUUUUAUUAAGGGAAAAAUAGAAAGUUAGAAUCUUCUGGUAGAGUAUUCAUAUUCUUCAGUAAAGAGUUUGAUUUUGGUUGUAAGAUCAAUUUCUAACCUGGGAAAUUCUUCGUUUCCUGACAGGAUAUAGUAUCUGUUAUUAUGCCUCAGUUGAUGGCAAUGAAAUAAUUUCAUAGUUGUUUUCAACUUUUCUGGGGAUGAUAAUUGAUGGAAUUUUAUCAAACUUUUGUAUCAACCCGUUGAUAAUUUUAAUCUGGACACUAUUCUGGUUCAUUCUAUUUGCAUUGCUCAGAAAGAGGGAGAGUUGAAGAAAUUGAAUUUUCAUCUGCUUGAAGAGUGAAGUGAAAUAGGGAAUAUG